CAUGUACUCCCUCCGUCCGAAAAUACUUAUCGGAAGAAUGGAUGUAUCUAGACACAAUUUAGUUCUAGAUGCACUCAUUUUCAUGCAUUUCUCCGACAAAUAUUUCUGGACGGAGGGAGUACUUC
rfam:Triticum aestivum genome assembly, contig: Triticum_aestivum_CS42_TGACv1_scaffold_031888_1BL